rnacentral:rRNA from 1 species
UACGAAGGGGGCUAGCGUUGCUCGGAAUGACUGGGCGUAAAGGGCGCGUAGGCGGUUUGUCCAGUCAGGUGUGAAAUUCCCGGGCUCAACCUGGGGGCUGCACUUGAUACGUAUGGACUGGAGUGGGGAAGAGGGUCGUGGAAUUCCCAGUGUAGAGGUGAAAUUCGUAGAUAUUGGGAAGAACACCGGUGGCGAAGGCGUCGACCUGGUCCUUGACUGACGCUGAGGCGCGAAAGCGUGGGGAGCAAACAGG